rnacentral:rRNA from 1 species
UACGUAGGGUGCGAGCGUUAAUCGGAAUUACUGGGCGUAAAGCGUGCGUAGGCGGUUCUCCAAGUCCGUUGUGAAAGCCCCGGGCUCAACCUGGGAAUGGCAGUGGAAACUAGGGGACUGGAAUCUGGCAGAGGGGGGUGGAAUGCCGCGUGUAGCAGUGAAAUGCGUAGAGAUGCGGAGGAACACCGAUGGCGAAGGCAGCCCCCUGGGCUAACACUGACGCUCAGGCACGAAAGCGUGGGGAGCAAACAGG